GUCCAGGGUAGCCUAGUGGACAUGGCACCUGCCCGGUAAGCAGAAGGUUGUGGGUUCGAUUCCCGUACCUGGACA